UUUAUCAUCUAUACUAAAUACAUAUAUUACACAUACAUAUAAACGCAUAACGUAUAUCAGUUAUUUUAAUUAUGAUAUAUAUACAUAUAUAUAUAUAUAUAUACAUUAACGAAACACAAAAUGUAUUUUUAUCUUUUUCUUUUUUACGCGUACGGUAUUUUCUAAUAACUUUGUGUAAAAUUUUCUUUUUCUCUCUUUCCUUUUUUUUACAUCUUUCUUUCUCACUGAAUGUCCUUUCCAACGUAUUCUUUCCGUGUAUCUUAAAGGGGCUGUUUUAAUUGGAGCGGAAAGUAGCACGUGAAUAUGUUAUUCUGGCCAUACACGCAACGAUCGUAUUCCUACUAAAGCAGUUGACGGCGUAUAUUUAGAGGAAGACUUGACAACUGAUGACUCAGAAUGACUCAUCGAUCCAAUAUCGCAUAGUGCUAAGAGAAAUGACGGAAUUCAAAGGACUAUUUGGAACUAGCAUUAACAACUGAUGAUUUAGAAUGAUCUAUUUAUCCAACAUCGCAUCGUACUGAGAAAAGUGAGACACGAAACUAUACAAUUGUUCAACUGACAUAAGAAGGAGCUAAAUCAAAGUCGCUGACUUUCGUCCGUUUGGAAUCCAUUCAAAACAAUACAAAAAGGGCACAUAUAUUAUUUUUUUAUUAUAUUUAUUAUUAUUUUUAUCAUUUAAUAUUUAUUUUCUCCUAAUUAAUGCAUGUGUGAAUAGAAACUGUUAAAUUUUAGCAUGUCAGCUGUAAAAGAAAAAAACUUGUGGCCACCAUGAGAUGUCCUUCGCCCCGAAACAGAAUAACUUUCAUUUUAAAUAUUUUUCGAAACGAGCCACAGUUUAGAGUUACAGAGACUAGAUUUUUGCUACGCGUAUUCAGGGAGAAAGUGGUAAAAUUUCUUGGCUGUACAGUUAACGAGUUAUAUAUAACCGUUAGUGAAAUGCAUCGAGAUCGUGGCGAAGUUUCCACUUCCAGUAAAAGUAUGGAGUUGUGAGAAUUUUUACGGAUGUUGAUUUUUAUCUACAAUUCGAGAGCCAGUGCUGUGGAGUUCCAGACCUCGCUUAACAAUCUGCUGUGAGGAUCUAAACAGAAAAUUCAGCGAUUUGUUGACGGAUAUCACAAGAAAAACUUUUGGUGGAAAAAUGGGUACGCCAGAGUUAUAAUGCUAGCUCAUUCAAUUUCAGAAGCAUUCCUUGCCAUAACGGUAACGACACUAUAACCAUUAUGACGCCUCCGAUUUCGUUAUAACUCUCUUCGCAACUCUCCAGCAACGGGUGGAUAAAAUAUGGUAACUUUUGGCCUUUUUAACGAUAUCAUUUACUUAAGUAUAAGAGUAUGUACAACGUAAGUACAGCGCUUAUCACCGCGAGUUACUUGAUGCUUUGGUUACGGUCAAAAGAUUACAUAGAAGAGCGACCAUCCGUAAUUUAUACUGAUCUUUAAUCUAUGCUUUCCAUCAAAGGUCGGAUAAAUACACGUCAAGACAAUUCCGCUAUUUAGAUUUUAUUGGUAACAAAUACACCUUAUCGAACAGGACAAUAUGGUGGCCAACACACUUUCACACAUUGAGCAAUGUCGGCUACAAAAAAUUAACAAUGUCACAGAAGACAAAUGCAGAAUUAACACGUAUACUUAAAACAAACAAUGCAUUACUGCGGCUAAAAAAAGAUGUUUCCCGGCGUCAAACUUUGAAAUUUUCUGCGAUAUACCAAACGAUGUACCAAAACGACCUGACUCUUCGUUACGAUAGAUUCAAAAUGACAAAUUUUCGAUGUUCUUAAUGGCCUCAAUCAUUCAGACAAGAGAACUACAGUCACAAUAAUAAAGCAAGUUUUUGUUUAGCCAGAAAUUAACAAAGAUGUUCGAAAAUAAGCAUAGGUUUGUAUAUCAUGCAAGAAAGCAGAAAUUUCACGCCAUGUUUCUUCACCAAUCGGUGAAUUCAUUGGCAACAGUGAUUAGAUCAUAAUCAUGUCGAUAUAAUCGAGUCAUUAGCGAUUUUGGAAAAUUGUCUGCAGUAUAGUUCUUGGUCACUUCAUUAGGUAACCAGAGACUUCUUCAGUCGCUGAUAUUUCUGCCGAAAUCGUGACCAAAACGUACCUGAUUGGUUGAAUAGCUAGAUAUAAAACAUCGCCAAAAAUUACAAGAAAUCAAGACCGACAAUUCGAGACAUAUGUGUUUAAAAAACAAAGGUCCGUACGAAGUAGUAAGUAGGGAGAAUAGGACAUUCACAAGAUGAACGGAAGAGCAACGUGAGAGAGUAACGUCAAUCGACAGAGUCAAGUCAGUUUAUAUGCUUGCCAAUAAUGUAAUACCUGAUAACAAAACGACACAAACGAGUUUAACGUCACCCAUAAACUCUCCACAUUACUAACUUCAACUCGAACACUGACGUAUAUCAUAGAUAUUAUAUAUAUAGAUGAUUCUCAAUAAGGUCAGGUAGCAAGCAUGCUUACCGGACCAUCUACACUUUAGGGAUUUAACGCUAUACAGUGCCCAAGGGGAGGGAUAUAAAUCUAUAAGUCUUAGAUCUAUAAGGACGCUGCUAAAGUAGGGUAAAUAAACGAUGAACAGUACAAUAUAUAUAUUUACAAUAAAUAGUCUAUAUAUACAGUGACUCGCUUUAAUAUUCAGACAUCACUAAUUUCCGACUAUGACUGUUAUAUACAUCUAUUUAUAGUUAAGUUAAGGAAUUCACGUGUUUCUAUCAAAAAGUACGCUUUUUCUAGUUUUUAGAAACGUAAGUAUUACUUAUUUAAUUAACAUAAUUAUCUAUAUAAUAUAACAAACAUGGGCUAUCUAUAUAAUAUAACAAAUGGGCAUCCAAAGCUACUUAAUAUUCACGUAAAAUUAUCAGGAAAAUAGAACAAGAUCCUGCAUUGAGCGUUCCAAAAUUGAUCGCAGAUUUAUUUGACGAAACAGCAAAAAAGUUCAUACAGAUAUGGUUCAUAGAACAUCGAAGGAAUAUAUAUAUAUAUAUAUAUAUAAUGGUAGAGUUGCUCGUAAAAAGCCAUUUAUAAGCGACAAGAAUCGAAAGGUAAGAAUUAUGUUUGCCAAAGAGUAUAUUUGUAAAAAUAAGACAUGGUGGAAUGAUGUAAUAUUUGCUGAUGAGAGAUAAUUCAAUGUUUUUGGAAGCAAUGGAUGUAAAAUAGUAUGGCGUAAAGUCAAUGAAGAAUUAAAGUUAAAAAUCUAAAACCAACCAUAAAAUAGGGUGGCGGUUCCGCGAUGGUUUGAGGUUGUAUAUUAGCUGCAGGUGUGGGCGAAUUAAUUUUCAUUGAAGACAUUUUAAAUAAAUAUUUUCAUAUUUUAAAAAAUAAUUUGAUAAAAAGUGCAACACAAAUGAACAUUCACAACAUUUUGAAAUUUUAUCAAGGCAACGACCCUAAACACUAUUUCACAAUCACCUAACUUAAACCCUAUUGAAAAUUUGGGGUAAAAAUGGGAUGAAUUAGACCGUAAGAUACGAAAAACACCAAUAACAUUAGAAAAAGAGCAUUAACAUUAAAAAAACGUUUGAUAGAAGAAUGGAAACGUAUUUCAACCAAUUAUAUACAAAAAAUUAUUGUGAAUUUUUAUUAGCAUAUGUUAUUAAAUAAAAGGGAAAUCCAACUAAAUAUUAACAUUUUUAUAAGUUUGUUUAAUUUUGUUAAUAAUGUGUAUAAAAAUAUUAUUCUCUUAGAUGUCCGAAUAUUUUUGCGACGCUAGAAUUAAGCAUUAUUUUGUUUAUGUUAUAUUAUACAGACAAUUAUGUUAAUAAAAUAAAUAAUAUCUACAUUUCUAAAAACUAGAAAAAAUAUACUCUUUGAUAAAAAAACGUAAAUUCCUUG